rnacentral:lncRNA from 1 species
AGAGAGAUUCCACUUGUGAGAUACAAAUAUAUAUCUAAAACCACACCUCAAUUCCCAUUCCCUCCUGCCACAUGCUACCACUUUAGUUAUCACUCAGUUAAUCUGUAUUAGGUGAUUAAAUAAUUAAUUAGAUUAAGACUCUUACAACCCAACUAUUUCUCCUCUGAACCUUCUUGCAUUAUAUAACAAUAAUGCAAGUGAGCUUUUGGGGGACACCUCACAUCUAAACCAUAACAAGCAGGUAGGUUAGUGGGUCUGGAUAAUGAAUCUCAUCAUACCAAUCAUGGUCUGAGUUUUCUCUGUGUAGGAGUGUAUGAUUUUUCCAAUUUUAGAGAUAAUUUUAGGAGAAAGCCUGAUACUUAAAAAUGCUUUAGGCCCCUCAGAUGAUUUUCUCCUGGUCACUGUAGGCAGGUCUUCUAGUCUCUCACAGGGGCAUCUGGAGAGGUGUCAGCUGGUUGUGGCUCUGGUCUUAGGAUGGGUUCCCAUCUUGGUCUUGCAAGGUGGAGGAGGAACCUUUUUCUUUGGGGAAGCCUCUGGCCUUGAGGAUCUUAUAGAGGAAGGAGGAGCUGGUAUUGAAGGGCUAUAUUCUGCAGUUUCUGGAAACAAGGGGGCUGAGGGCACUGCCCAUUGUCUCGAUGGUCUUGAGAAUGUUGGGUAGAGUGGCAUGUAAGGAGGUGGGUUCUCUUCUGACUCACUGGGCAAAAUUGGUUCUUGUUCUGCCCUUUGUCAGAUUUUCUCUGCUUAGUUGCCUUUUGGGGGGUCAUAGAGGCUG